ACAACACAACUCUACAACAUAAGUAAGUCAUACAAGCAUCAUUAUACAAGCCAGGGGCCUCGAGGGCUCGAAUACAAGUGCUCGAUCAUAGACGAGUCAGCGGAAGCAACAAUAUCUGAGUACAGACAUAAGUUAAACAAGUUUGCCUUAAGAAGGCUAACACAAAAGUAGCAACGAUCGAAAAGGCAAGGCCUCCUGCCUGGGACCUCCUAACUACUCCUCGAAGCCGAACUCCACGUAGAAUCAUCCUCGGGAUCUCUAGCUCCUGGACUCCAGCAUCUGGUUGCGACAAUCCGGUAUAGAAAGCGGAAAAGAGGGAGAAAAGCAACCGUGAGUACUCAUCCAAAGUACUCGCAAGCAAGGAGCUACACUACAUAUGCAUGGGUAUAUGUGUAAAGGGUCAUAUCGGUGGACUGAACUGCAGAAUGCUAGAAUAAGAGGGGGAUAGCUAAUCCUAUCGAAGACUACGCUUCUGGCAGCCUCCAUCUUGCAGCAUGUAGAAGAGAGUAGAUUGAAGUUUUCCAAGUAGCAUCGUAUAACAUAAUCCUACCCGGCGAUCCCCUCCUCGUCGCCCUGUUAGAGAGCGAUCAGCGGGUUAUAUCUGGCACUUGGAAGGGUGUGUUUUAUUAAGUAUCCAGUUCUAGUUGUCAUAAGGUCAAGAUACAACUCCGGGUCGUCCUUUUACCGAGGGACACGGCUAUUCGAAUAGAUAAACUUCCCUGCAGGGGUGCACCACAUAACCCAACACGCUCGAUCCCAUUUGGCCGGACACACUUUUCUGGGUCAUGCCCGGCCUCGUAAGAUCAACACGUCGCAGCCCCACCUAGGCUCAACAGAGAGGUCAGCACGCCGGUCUAAACCUAUGCGCGCAGGGGUCUGGGCCCAUCGCCCUAUGCACACCUGCACGUUGCGUACGCGGCCGGAAGCAGACCUAGCCCCCUUAAUACAAGCGCGAGCUUACGGUCCAAUGCGGCGUGCGCCACUCAGUUGCUGACGUCAAAAGAGCUUCGGCUGAUACCACGACGUCGGGAUACCCAUAACUACUCCCACGUAGAUGGUUAGUGCGUAUAGACCAAAUGGCCAGACUCAGAUCAAAUACCAAGAUCUCGUUAAGCGUGUUAAGUAUCCGCGAACGACGUCCAGGCCCAGGCCCACCUCUCUCCUAGGUGGUCUCAACCUGCCCUGGCGCUCCGCCACAAAGUAACAGUCGGGGGCCGUCAGGAACCCAGGCCCACCUCUACCGGGAUGGAGCCACCUGUCCUUUCAGCCCCCUCAUCAGAAUCACUUGCGGGUACUCCUCGAGCCGACCCGACUUUAGUCACCACAUGUGUCAUGUAUAUAAUGUAUAUAGUAUAUACCCGUGAUCACCUCCCAAAGUGAUCACGGCCCAGUAGUAUAGCAUGGCAGACGGACAAGAGUGUAGGUCCACUGAUGGAACACUAGCAUCCUAUACUAAGCAGUAGGAUAGCAGGUAAGGGUAACAACUGUAGCAACAAUGACAGGCUAUGCAUCAGUAUAGGAUUAACCGAAAGCAGUAACAUGCUACACUACUCUAAUGCAAGCAGUAUAGAGAAGGAAUAGGCGAUAUCGGGUGAUCAAGGGAGGGGGGCUUGCCUGGUUGCUCUGGCAAGAAGGAGGGGUGGUCGUCGAUGUAGUCGAUCUCGGGGGUAUCGGCAACGGUCUCGGGGUCUACCGGAAAGAAGUAGCGGAGGGGGAACACAAUAAAUAACAGAGCAAUCAAAGCAUCACAAAGCAUAACAGAGCAAUACGCGGUGCUAGGUGUGCCCUAACACGGUACGAGGUGAUACCGACAAAGGGGGAAAACAACCGGGAAAGUAUCCCUGGUGUAUCGUGUUUUCGGACAGAUGAACUGGAGGCGGAAAGUUGCGUGUUCGCUAUGCUAGGGAUGUGUGGCGGACGAACGGACUGCGUAUUUGGAUUCGUCUCGUCGUUCUGAGCAACUUUCAUGUACAAAGUAUUUUCAUCCGAGUUACGGAUAUUUUUAUAUUAAUUUUCAAAGCUUUAAACCAUUUUAUGAAGUUUCUGGUUUUAUUAUUAAAUCGAAAUUAAAACAGGAAAUACUCUUGUCACCUACUGCCAUUCUAGCUACAGCGUAUGACAGUGGGGCCAAUGGGGAUGGGUUGACCCAUUCAAGGGUUGAUUGGUCAACAUAUAAACAGUACCGCGGGACCCAGCUGUCAUUGAAAGUAACUAAAUUGACUUUGGUUAUUUAUUUUAAUCUCAGGGAACCCACAUGUCAUCUGUACUAACCUAACCACUAAUUAGCAUCUAGUCUUAAACAGGGCCCAAACCGGCCACUGGUGUGCUUGGGCACGCACGCACGAGAGUGCAUGGUGGCCACGGCCAACAACUUGCAGUAGUGGGCAAGAGUAGCAAGCAACAGCUAGGGGCAGUAUCACUAUCACCACAGCUAGCAAAGGAGCAGAGCAACUACAGAACACAGCGGUGGCAGAGCAUCAGCUCAGCGGCAGAGGCAACAAGCAGCAACGGCCAGUAUCGACAGCAAUGGCGGCGGCAGCAACAAACAACAAUAGCAACGAGCAUUGAGCAGCAGAACGCGGCAGCAGCACGAGCAGCAGGCCCGGUGGAGCAGUAGCAGCGGCGCAGCGACAGGGCAGACGCGGCCUACGCGGGCGCGUCCCUCGGGCAAGCAGCAGCACGAGAGCGGGGGGCGCAACGACGAGCGCGUACACUGAGGCUCGAACGCGGCCAUGGAAGAGGACAACCGAGCUCGGGGACGACGGCAAACGGCAACGAAUAAAAGGGGAAAGGGGGGAAUCGAUGAGGCUCACUAGGAGGAGGUCGGGGACGUGCUCGCAUAGGUUGAGGGGGCGCCGGAGGUGGGGAUCGACGACGACGGCCGUGGCGGCUGUGGUGGGGAUGGCGGCUCGAUGUGGAGCAUACAAGGCCCUUUGGCCUCGAUCCAGAGGCGUAGGUGAAGGAGACGAGGUUGGGGAAGCUCGUCGCCACCUUGUAGCAGCUCGGGGAUGACCCAGAGAAUGGCAACGACGACGCGGCGGCGACGGCAACGCACGGGCGUCGAGCAGGAGAGGCAGGGGCGCAAGAGGGAA
rnacentral:lncRNA from 1 species